AGCCAUUCUCUGACUAGGGUGUACAGUUCCCUAUUGCUAUGACGAGGGUCCUCAGCUGAUGAAAUUCACAACUGGAUACAUUAUGAAAAUAGUCUCAUCUCCCGCAUUAAGGAAACUGUCAGCAGGCAGCUUAACUUUCAGCUCCUCAGCUGUGGCGGUGCACGCACAAAACGUACCUGUACCUCUCCUGCAUGAAAGCUGGCAGCGAUGGGAACAUUCCUGUCAGCUGUCGUGGCACAACAAAGAGGAACGUAAACAGCUCUUCUUCGCCAAACGCGGCCUCACGCUCCUUACACAACGAGCUCACUGCUGGUUUCACUGGGAAUUUUAACUGGAAUCUGAAAAGUGUAUCGGCACUCCGAGAGGCAGCUGCACCGGGAGCAGAGGGCAGGAAGAUGACUGAGGAGGGCAGCUAGCUGGACCACCACUCUGUCAAGAAACCAAGCAGCUUAAAUGGUGCCCGACAUUCAGGAUGUAUUGAGCCAGGCCUGCAGGCACAGUCAGGGGGCUGACUCCCAUCAUAUGGGGAACGUGAGGACUUGCCAUGCCCCCGUAUGGCCAGCCCUGCAUGCCCACCAGUGAGAACAGCUGCAAUCAGAAAUGGGAAAGAGGUGGGACUCUUCCACACAGAUAUAAAACGACAUCUCCAACCACUUCUGGAAAAAUAAAGUUAGCCCAUAAAUAAAUAAAUAGAAUCCAGUCAGAUUUUUAUUUUAUCCACUAUCACACCUUUGAGAGCCGAAGAGUAAUGACAACUGUCAGAAGGCAAGAAGCUAGAAGUGCCACUCUUCCCCACUUUACGAAGUCAGUGGUGUUUUUAAAACUACUUUUCAUAUCAGUUUACAAGCUUUAAUAAUAAAAGAGUAUGUUGUACUAUUAGAUGUUGGUCAUUUUUUUUUUGUCUGACGAAGAAAAAUA